AUAGAGCUCUCUAUAAAUGCCCAUUAGGUCAAGUUUAUUGAUACAGCUGUUCAGUUCAACCAUAUCCUCAUUGAUUUUCUGCCUCCUUCAUCUAUCAGUAUGGAAAAAGGGGUAUUGAUGUCUCCAACAAUAAUAGUGGUGUAAUGUAUUUUUUUCCUUCCAGUUCUAUCAGUUUUUGCUUCACAUAUUUUGAUGCUCUGUUGUUAGGUUAAGGAUUGUUAUAUCUUUUGAGAAAUUUUACCCUUUUAUUAUGAUGUAAUUAUCCCCUUUAUCCCUGAUAAUUUUUUCCUGAAAUUAAUAUAGCAAUUCCAGCUUUCUUUUGAUUAGUGUUACCACAGUAUAUGUCACUCCUUCUUUUUACUUUUGGUCUAUCUUUAUAUUUAAUGUGAGUUUCUUGGAGUAAACAUACAGUUAAGCUUCUUUUUUUAACAUUUACUCUGCAGAGCUCUGUCUUUCAAUUGGCUUAUCCAUACCAUUCACAUUUAAAGUGAUUAUUGAAAUACUUGGAUGAAUAUCCAUCAUGCUUGUGACAGUUUUUUAUUUACUGUAUUUGUUGUUUCUUUUCUUCUUUUCCUCCUCUUACUGUCUUCCCUGGUUUUAAUUAAACAUUUUGCAUAAUUCCAUUUUAGCUCUUCCUUUAGUCUAUCAAUUAAAUUUCUUUUAACAAAAAUUAGUUCUUGCCGUACAGUUUGCAAUACAUUUACAACUAGCAUCAUUUCACCUUUAAAUAAUAUUCUACCACUUUAUAUGUAGUGCAUUUACCUUAACAGACUUUUCUUAAUUCUUCUUUCCUGUCCCAGGCAAGAUGCUGCCAUUUAUUUUAUUUAUUCAUAUGCUAUAAUUGCCCAAUACACUGUCACUAUCAUUGCUUUAGAUAAAGUUAUUUUAGGUCUAUUUGGAACUUAAGAGGUAAAAGAUGCUGUUUUACCUUCAUUUAUGCAUCCUCUGAUGCUGUUUCCUUCUUUAUGUAGAUCCAAGUUACUAACCUAUAAAGUUUUUCUCCUUCCUGAAUGACUUUCUGUAGCAUUUUCUGCAGGGAAGUUCCGUUAAAAAUAAAUUCUCAGUUUUUGUUUGCCUAAGAAAGUAUUUAUUUCAUCCUAAUUUUCUUUAACUUGUCUUUUACAUUCAGGGGUACAUGUGCAGGUUUGUUAUAUAGGUAAACUUGUGUCAUGGGCGUUUAUUAUACAAAUUAUUUCAGCACCCAGGUAUUAAGCUUUGUACCCAUUACUGUUAUUUUUACUGAUCCUUUCCCUCCUCCCACCCUCUCUGAUCCAAUAGGCCUCAGUGUGUGUUGCUCCCUUCUAUGUGUCCAUGUGUUCUCAUCAUUUAGCUCUCACUUAUAAGUGAGAACAUGCAGUAUUUGGUUUUCUCUUCCUGCACUAGUUUGCUAAGGAUAAUGUCCCUGCAAAGGACAUGAUCUUGUUCUUUUUAUGGCUGCAUAGUAUUCCAUGGUGUGUAUGUACCACAUUUUCUUUAUCUACUCUAUCAUUGAUGGGCAUUUAGGUUGAUUCCAUGUCUUUGCUAUCGUGAAUAGUGGUACAUGCUUGAGUCUUUAUUAAUAGAAUGAUUUACAUUCCUUUGGGUAUAUAACUAGUAAUUGGAUUGCUGGGCCAAAUGGUGUUUCUGUCUUUAGGUCUUUGAGAAAUUGCCACACUGUCUUCCACAAUGGUUGAAUUAAUCUACCUUCCCAACAACAGUGUAUAAGCAUUCAUUUUAUUCCUGGCAGAGAUACAGCAAAAAAAAAAAAA
rnacentral:lncRNA from 1 species